rnacentral:rRNA from 1 species
GUAGGGUCCGAGCGUUGUCCGGAAUUAUUGGGCGUAAAGGGCUCGUAGGCGGUUUGUCGCGUCGGGAGUGAAAUCUUACAGCUUAACUGUGAACUUGCUUUCGAUACGGGCAGACUUGAGGCAUUCAGGGGAGAACGGAAUUCCUGGUGUAGCGGUGAAAUGCGCAGAUAUCAGGAGGAACACCGGUGGCGAAGGCGGUUCUCUGGGAAUGUACUGACGCUGAGGAGCGAAAGUGUGGGGAGCGAACAGGAUUAGAUACCCUGGUAGUCCACACCGUAAACGUUGGGCGCUAGGUGUGGGGCCUAUUCCAUGGGUUCCGUGCCGCAGCUAACGCAUUAAGCGCCCCGCCUGGGGAGUACGGCCGCAAGGCUA